ACUUUUUUAAUUAUAACAUUAUCCUCAGAUGACAUUAACCAUAUUAAUUUUGAUUUAUUUGGGAGGCUUUUAAAGUUUUUGUUAACCUUAUUUAAGUAAUCUAUAUAUUCAGAUCUUUUAUUUUCUAAAACAGGACACUGAAGAAGAAAAUGAAUUUCAUCUUCAACUUCAGUGUUACAUAAUUUACAUAUUCUAUCCUCCACUCGAAGCCCCACAUAUCUGCCUCUUUCAAUUUCUAAUUUAUGUGCACUGACUCUAAACUUAGUGAGCAGUCGCCUUUCAUCCUCAUUUAAAAUUAAUAAGUAUUUUUCCAUAUAAAUAUUUUCUUUAAAUAAUCUGUAAGUUCUUAGUUUAUUUCCAUGCUGUUUAUUUUGUCUAUCAUUGUAAAGUUCAGAUUUCCAAAUACAAGAAUAUUUCUGUUUUAUUUUCCGGUAAAUUAGUGAUUUUAAAUCCAUCUUU
rnacentral:lncRNA from 1 species